UUAAGCGACUAAGCGUACACGGUGGAUGCCCUGGCAGUCAGAGGCGAUGAAGGACGUGCUAAUCUGCGAUAAGCGUCGGUAAGGUGAUAUGAACCGUUAUAACCGGCGAUUUCCGAAUGGGGAAACCCAGUGUGAUUCGUCACACUAUCAUUAACUGAAUCCAUAGGUUAAUGAGGCGAACCGGGGGAACUGAAACAUCUAAGUACCCCGAGGAAAAGAAAUCAACCGAGAUUCCCCCAGUAGCGGCGAGCGAACGGGGAGGAGCCCAGAGCCUGAAUCAGUGUGUGUGUUAGUGGAAGCGUCUGGAAAGGCGCGCGAUACAGGGUGACAGCCCCGUACACAAAAAUGCACAUGCUGUGAGCUCGAUGAGUAGGGCGGGACACGUGGUAUCCUGUCUGAAUAUGGGGGGACCAUCCUCCAAGGCUAAAUACUCCUGACUGACCGAUAGUGAACCAGUACCGUGAGGGAAAGGCGAAAAGAACCCCGGCGAGGGGAGUGAAAAAGAACCUGAAACCGUGUACGUACAAGCAGUGGGAGCACGCUUAGGCGUGUGACUGCGUACCUUUUGUAUAAUGGGUCAGCGACUUAUAUUCUGUAGCAAGGUUAACCGAAUAGGGGAGCCGAAGGGAAACCGAGUCUUAACUGGGCGUUAAGUUGCAGGGUAUAGACCCGAAACCCGGUGAUCUAGCCAUGGGCAGGUUGAAGGUUGGGUAACACUAACUGGAGGACCGAACCGACUAAUGUUGAAAAAUUAGCGGAUGACUUGUGGCUGGGGGUGAAAGGCCAAUCAAACCGGGAGAUAGCUGGUUCUCCCCGAAAGCUAUUUAGGUAGCGCCUCGUGAACUCAUCUCCGGGGGUAGAGCACUGUUUCGGCAAGGGGGUCAUCCCGACUUACCAACCCGAUGCAAACUGCGAAUACCGGAGAAUGUUAUCACGGGAGACACACGGCGGGUGCUAACGUCCGUCGUGAAGAGGGAAACAACCCAGACCGCCAGCUAAGGUCCCAAAGUCAUGGUUAAGUGGGAAACGAUGUGGGAAGGCCCAGACAGCCAGGAUGUUGGCUUAGAAGCAGCCAUCAUUUAAAGAAAGCGUAAUAGCUCACUGGUCGAGUCGGCCUGCGCGGAAGAUGUAACGGGGCUAAACCAUGCACCGAAGCUGCGGCAGCGACGCUUAUGCGUUGUUGGGUAGGGGAGCGUUCUGUAAGCCUGUGAAGGUGUGCUGUGAGGCAUGCUGGAGGUAUCAGAAGUGCGAAUGCUGACAUAAGUAACGAUAAAGCGGGUGAAAAGCCCGCUCGCCGGAAGACCAAGGGUUCCUGUCCAACGUUAAUCGGGGCAGGGUGAGUCGACCCCUAAGGCGAGGCCGAAAGGCGUAGUCGAUGGGAAACAGGUUAAUAUUCCUGUACUUGGUGUUACUGCGAAGGGGGGACGGAGAAGGCUAUGUUGGCCGGGCGACGGUUGUCCCGGUUUAAGCGUGUAGGCUGGUUUUCCAGGCAAAUCCGGAAAAUCAAGGCUGAGGCGUGAUGACGAGGCACUACGGUGCUGAAGCAACAAAUGCCCUGCUUCCAGGAAAAGCCUCUAAGCAUCAGGUAACAUCAAAUCGUACCCCAAACCGACACAGGUGGUCAGGUAGAGAAUACCAAGGCGCUUGAGAGAACUCGGGUGAAGGAACUAGGCAAAAUGGUGCCGUAACUUCGGGAGAAGGCACGCUGAUAUGUAGGUGAAGUCCCUCGCGGAUGGAGCUGAAAUCAGUCGAAGAUACCAGCUGGCUGCAACUGUUUAUUAAAAACACAGCACUGUGCAAACACGAAAGUGGACGUAUACGGUGUGACGCCUGCCCGGUGCCGGAAGGUUAAUUGAUGGGGUUAGCCGCAAGGCGAAGCUCUUGAUCGAAGCCCCGGUAAACGGCGGCCGUAACUAUAACGGUCCUAAGGUAGCGAAAUUCCUUGUCGGGUAAGUUCCGACCUGCACGAAUGGCGUAAUGAUGGCCAGGCUGUCUCCACCCGAGACUCAGUGAAAUUGAACUCGCUGUGAAGAUGCAGUGUACCCGCGGCAAGACGGAAAGACCCCGUGAACCUUUACUAUAGCUUGACACUGAACAUUGAGCCUUGAUGUGUAGGAUAGGUGGGAGGCUUUGAAGUGUGGACGCCAGUCUGCAUGGAGCCGACCUUGAAAUACCACCCUUUAAUGUUUGAUGUUCUAACGUUGACCCGUAAUCCGGGUUGCGGACAGUGUCUGGUGGGUAGUUUGACUGGGGCGGUCUCCUCCUAAAGAGUAACGGAGGAGCACGAAGGUUGGCUAAUCCUGGUCGGACAUCAGGAGGUUAGUGCAAUGGCAUAAGCCAGCUUGACUGCGAGCGUGACGGCGCGAGCAGGUGCGAAAGCAGGUCAUAGUGAUCCGGUGGUUCUGAAUGGAAGGGCCAUCGCUCAACGGAUAAAAGGUACUCCGGGGAUAACAGGCUGAUACCGCCCAAGAGUUCAUAUCGACGGCGGUGUUUGGCACCUCGAUGUCGGCUCAUCACAUCCUGGGGCUGAAGUAGGUCCCAAGGGUAUGGCUGUUCGCCAUUUAAAGUGGUACGCGAGCUGGGUUUAGAACGUCGUGAGACAGUUCGGUCCCUAUCUGCCGUGGGCGCUGGAGAACUGAGGGGGGCUGCUCCUAGUACGAGAGGACCGGAGUGGACGCAUCACUGGUGUUCGGGUUGUCAUGCCAAUGGCACUGCCCGGUAGCUAAAUGCGGAAGAGAUAAGUGCUGAAAGCAUCUAAGCACGAAACUUGCCCCGAGAUGAGUUCUCCCUGACUCCUUGAGAGUCCUGAAGGAACGUUGAAGACGACGACGUUGAUAGGCCGGGUGUGUAAGCGCAGCGAUGCGUUGAGCUAACCGGUACUAAUGAACCGUGAGGCUUAACCUU
rnacentral:rRNA from 1 species